GCGCGCGCGCACUACCUCUCCACUUAAGUAACUCGCGCGCUACCACACAUUCGCACGGCGGCGUUACAGAUUAAAAAAAUUAUCCACUUUAUUCACACACAUUUAAUCGAACCAUAAGAAGACGUACUCGCGAGCGGUAACGGACAGACGCGCGCUGUUCUUCCGACGCACACACCAUUAAAACACCGCCGAGUCAAGAAACGGAUGAGCGCAUGCGAUAUACAUACCGACAUAUAACAAAAACAUAUCUCGCCGUCUCCAGCAUUACACGCAUCUCCAUGCGCCGUCGAUAACACACUUCAAGGAAAGAUAAAAAUAAAAAUGAAUUUAAUCAUCUUGAGUGUUAUAUUGAUGCAAUGUGUGUUUGCAUUCGAUGACACACCGCGAUUUUUCACUAAUGGUCAUGGAGGUUACCAGUUUUUCCACGCGGAUGAACAUUUAAUCCACUCCGAUCGUCGUAUUGACGCCGAAGGCAGUUAUUCCGAUGUGAAUCACGUGAUACAACCAUUACCACAGCCUCAAAGUGAGGUUAAAGUUACUAGUGCGCCAUCUGUACGUCAAAAUCAUAAACCUGUACCUAAAAUAAAGUUUGCCAAACGUGUGCUCGUGAAAAGUGAGCAAAGUGAUGAGGAUUUAUCAUCGGAAAAUCGUAUUUUACAAGAUGUCACCACACAGAAACCUCUACGCACAACAAGUAUCAUGAAUCCGAUGCGAAAACGUAUCGUUGUGAGGAAAUUUAAACCGCGUGCGAAGACACCGAAGCCGCCGACGGAGAAGAACAAGAAAAGAGAAAUCUCCUCUGCCGCGACCGGCAACGGACUCCAUGGCGCGCGUAGCAAGAUUCCGCACAAGUACAAGUUCACGAACAGAAACUUCAAGCCGCGACAGGUUGAAAAGCCGAAGAACAAUGCGCCGCCAAAGCAAUACAAUCGCGGCGCGUUGUUUACGCGAAAACCCAGCGAGACGCUCAUGCAGUUGCAUUUUCGUAAACUUGACAUAACCACAACAACGACAUCAGCGUCACCUAUACAAUCGAUGAAAGAAAAACGACAUUUGGCAAACAUCCGGUUUUUUAAUCGGAGAAAAUUACGCACGUAGAUCUUCAUAAUGAGUACGGAAGUCAUGAAAAUCCAUUUAAAUGUUAAAAAACACUCAAUUUCAAGGCCAAAUGUUUAAAAACAUAAAAAACGUUAUUUUCCGCUGCGCGUCUGUGAUUAUUUUAAAUUAUUUAUACAUAAACAUUUUGGUACAUGGCGUAGACGUAGAUUAACUAUUAAAUAUUUAAUUGAUCAUACCGCACAUAUUUUUUUAUUCUUUGUGACAUACCUUGUAAUGAAUAAUAAAUAAAUAAUGUAAUAAAA